AACUUUUCUCGAAUUUUUGGCUAAGAUCAAAUAUAGUAUUUGUUCUUAUCAGUUUAAUAUUUGAUAUGUGACCCAAUAGGUCACAUGGGUCACACAAUAUUAAAUUACUUUUUUCAGAGAGAGAGUCCGCUAAAGUAGCCUGCUACUUCGCUCUCAAGUGUCACCAUGCGUUACAUUAUUGCAUGGGCUGACGCAUCUCAC